AAAAUAUACCGGAUUUGGUAUUAAACGAGAAGAGAAGGAAGUGACAAUUAACUGUUCGAUGAAGAUAAUUUCAUAAUGGAGAGCGUGAUAUUCAUUCUCAUCGCUACAAUUGCCAUAGCAGUCUUUCACAGUAGGGUUGCCGUCAGCUUUAGAACAACUAAAGUAGUUCCUACGAGAAUUUUACAAAGACCCACGUUUCCAGUUCCUAAUGAAAAGAUCUGGUUAAAUCAUGCUAAUGAACAUCAUAGCAUAUAUACAGAUCUCACUAAACCUCGGCGGUUGAUGGAUGAAAGCCUUACCGUGUUUUCAACUUCUUUAUUUCCUGAGAAUGACAGAACUCGACCAACACUUGGUAACGGCCAUAUUGCCACAGUUGUCUAUACAGAUACGAUCUAUAUGAAUGGUCUCUACAAUGGGUUACGUGUAUUUAGUCACCGAGCAAGGAUACCAUCAACAUGUGCGAUUGAAGUUGUAUCCACUACCACCCGCAUUACAAAAUCGUCUUACUCAUUGGAUAUAG